UGGGGAAUUUUGGACAAUGGGGGAAACCCUGAUCCAGCCAUCCCGCGUGUGCGAUGAAGGCCUUCGGGUUGUAAAGCACUUUUGGCAGGAAAGAAACGUCAUGGGUUAAUACCCCGUGAAACUGACGGUACCUGCAGAAUAAGCACCGGCUAACUACGUGCCAGCAGCCGCGGUAAUACGUAGGGUGCAAGCGUUAAUCGGAAUUACUGGGCGUAAAGCGUGCGCAGGCGGUUCGGAAAGAAAGAUGUGAAAUCCCAGAGCUCAACUUUGGAACUGCAUUUUUAACUACCGGGCUAGAGUGUGUCAGAGGGAGGUGGAAUUCCGCGUGUAGCAGUGAAAUGCGUAGAUAUGCGGAGGAACACCGAUAGCGAAGGCAGCCUCCUGGAAUAACACUAACGCUCAUGCACGAAAGCGUGGGGAGCAAACAGG
rnacentral:rRNA from 1 species